ACGAUCCGCUGUUUUGAGGACCUGAACCUUUCUUCUACACGAUACAAGAUUUAAAACCUUGAAAGAACAAAAAGAAUAAAAGUUCACCAGCAGCCAUACACAGAAACAGACCCAAAAAGAACGAAAAGAGCUUCACCCAAACUCUUUGGAAAAGCUUCUGCCUUUUGCCGUCUAAUCUCUAACCUAGGACACCCCAUGGAAAAAUCCCAACGACUUUUUUCUCUGCUGAAAGCUAACGUAUAAAUUCACAAGGAGGCAAGAAACAGAGCUGAGGUUUUCUGGUAUGUGUUGCUGUGUCGGGUUCGGUCGUGGCCUGUUAUUGGUCUGCUCUUAGGUAUAUACACAUCUAGCUGAAAAGUCCUUGUUAUUGUUCUGCUUUUAGGUACUCCCAUGAAUUCUUUGAAUGGCAAACGAAGCUGUAAAGAAUGCAUUUUUGUUUGAGCUUAUAAUAUAAGAUUCAGAUGUUUAAGGUGUUAAAAUUGUGGCUUCAUAUGUAUGCUAGUUAUAGUUUGCCUUUUGGUUUAUGUAAUAUUCUGAAUCUAUACGUUUUCAUGGUCAUUUUAGUUCAGUCUCUUCCAUGUAUUGUUUGUGGACAACUAUCAUAGUUUAGGAGGUCAUUAUUCAGAUCUGCCUGGUUCUGAGAACAUGAUUAUCUGAUAGUUCAUAGUGUUAUUGGUCUUUGAACACUAUUCUAGUUGUCUUGGUUCUUAAAGUUGAGGCUAGCUGGAAUUUUCUUUCUUGAACAGCAUGUUUAACUCAGGGUUGUUAUAAUUAAUCAAUCUAGUUAA